rnacentral:rRNA from 1 species
UUGUAAGUUUCGGGGUUAGUAGGUUGGUCAUGCCUCUGGUAUGUACUGGUCUCACUGAUUCCUCCUUCCUGAUGAACCUUAAUGCCAUUAAUUUGGUGUUUUGGGGAAUUUGGACUGUUACUUAGAAAAAAUUGGAUUGUUUAAAGCAAGCUAACGCUUGAAUACAUUAGCAUGGAAUAAUGAAAUAGGACGUUCGAUCCUAUUUUGUUGGUUUCUAGGAUUGACGUAAUGAUUAAUAGGGAUAGUUGGGGGCAUUAGUAUUCAAUUGUCAGAGGUGAAAUUCUUGGAUUUAUUGAAGACUAACUACUGCGAAAGCAUUUGCCAAGGAUGUUUUCAUUAAUCAAGAACGAAAGUUAGGGGAUCGAAGACGAUCAGAUACCGUCGUAGUCUUAACCAUAAACUAUGCCGACUAGGGAUCGGAUGAUGUUAAUUUUUAAUGACUC